GGGGCCAUAGCUCAGCUGGGAGAGCGCCUGAAUGGCAUUCAGGAGGUCGGCGGUUCGAUCCCGCCUGGCUCCACCA
rnacentral:tRNA from 1 species